UACAGAGGGGGCAAGCGUUGUUCGGAAUUACUGGGCGUAAAGGGCGCGUAGGCGGCCUUCUAAGUCGAACGUGAAAUCCCCGGGCUCAACCUGGGAACUGCAUCCGAUACUGGAUGGCUUGAAUUCGGGAGAGGGAUGCAGAAUUCCAGGUGUAGCGGUGAAAUGCGUAGAUAUUUGGAGGAAUACCGGUGGCGAAGGCGGCAUCCUGGACCGACAUUGACGCUGAGGAGCGAAAGCCAGGGGAGCAAACGGG
rnacentral:rRNA from 1 species